GACGAACGCUGGCGGCGCGCUUAACACAUGCAAGUCGAGCGAAGCGGCGGACGGGUGAGUAACACGUGAGUUACCUGCCUUAGACAUUGGGAUAGCCUCGGGAAACCGGGAUUAAUACCAAAUGGUCUAAGAGGGACUCGCGUCCCAUUAGCUAGUUGGUGAGGUAACGGCCCACCAAGGCGACGAUGGGUAGCCGGCCGGAGAGGGUGAACCGCCACAUUUGAACUGAGAAACAGGCGAAACUCUACGGGAGGCAGCAGGGGGGAAUAUUGCACAAUGGCGGGAAUUCUGAUGCAGCGACGCCGGGUGAACGAAGAAGGCUUUCGAGUCGUAAAGUGCUUUUAUAUGGGAAGCGGUACCAUAAGAAAAAGCCCCGGCUAACUACGUGCCAGCAGUCGCGGUAAUUC
rnacentral:rRNA from 1 species